rnacentral:rRNA from 1 species
GCUUGCUGCGGGUACUCGAGUGGCGAACGGGUGAGUAACACGUGGGUGAUCUGCCUUGCACUUCGGGAUAAGCUUGGGAAACUGGGUCUAAUACCGGAUAGGACAGCUGUUUAGUGUCAGUUGUGGAAAGUUUUUUCGGUGCAAGAUGAGCUCGCGGCCUAUCAGCUUGUUGGUGGGGUAAUGGCCUACCAAGGCGUCGACGGGUAGCCGGCCUGAGAGGGUGUACGGCCACAUUGGGACUGAGAUACGGCCCAGACUCCUACGGGAGGCAGCAGUGGGGAAUAUUGCACAAUGGGCGGAAGCCUGAUGCAGCGACGCCGCGUGGGGGAUGAAGGCCUUCGGGUUGUAAACUCCUUUCGACAGGGACGAAGCGUAAGUGACGGUACCUGUAUAAGAAGCACCGGCUAACUACGUGCCAGCAGCCGCGGUAAUACGUAGGGUGCGAGCGUUGUCCGGAAUUACUGGGCGUAAAGAGCUCGUAGGUGGUUUGUCGCGUCGUCUGUGAAAUUCCGGGGCUUAACUCCGGGCGUGCAGGCGAUACGGGCUGACUUGAGUGCUGUAGGGGAGACUGGAAUUCCUGGUGUAGCGGUGAAAUGCGCAGAUAUCAGGAGGAACACCGAUGGCGAAGGCAGGUCUCUGGGCAGUAACUGACGCUGAGGAGCGAAAGCAUGGGUAGC